GACGAACGCUGGCGGCGUGCUUAACACAUGCAAGUCGAACGGAAAGGCCCUGCGUUUGUGGGGUGCUCGAGUGGCGAACGGGUGAGUAACACGUGAGUAACCUGCCCUUGACUUUGGGAUAACUUCAGGAAACUGGGGCUAAUACCGGAUAGGAGCUCCUGCUGCAUGGUGGGGGUUGGAAAGUUUCGGCGGUUGGGGAUGGACUCGCGGCUUAUCAGCUUGUUGGUGGGGUAGUGGCUUACCAAGGCUUUGACGGGUAGCCGGCCUGAGAGGGUGACCGGCCACAUUGGGACUGAGAUACGGCCCAGACUCCUACGGGGGGCAGCGGUGGGGAAUAUUGCACAAUGGGCGGAAGCCUGAUGCAGCAACGCCGCGUGCGGGAUGACGGCCUUCGGGUUGUAAACCGCUUUCGCCUGUGACGAAGCGUGAGUGACGGUAAUGGGUAAAGAAGCACCGGCUAACUACGUG
rnacentral:rRNA from 1 species